CCGCUUUGUUUAUCUACUCAAGCCUGACCAAUGGCGGGCACCCCUCCCCCAGCCUCGCUGCCGCCUUGCAGUUUGAUCUCAGACUGCUGUGCUCGCAAUGAGUAAGGCUCAGUGGGCAUGGGACCCUCCAAGCCAUGCGUGGGAUAUGAUCUCCUGUUAUGCCGUUUGUGAAGCCUGUUGGAAAAGUGCAGUAUUAGGGUGGGAGUGACCUGAUUUUCCAGGUGCCGGCUGUCACCCCUUUCUUUGACUAGGAAAGGGAAUUCCCUGACCCUUUGUGCUUCCUGGGUGAGGCGAUGUCUCGCCCUGCUUCGGCUCAUGCACGGUGCGCUGCACCCACUGUCCUGUACCCACUGUCCGUCACUCCCCAGUGAGAUGAACCCGGUACGUCAGUUGGAAAUGCAGAAAUCACCAGUCUUCUGCGUCGCUCAUGCUGGGAGCUGUAGACUGGAGCUGUUCCUAUUCAGCCAUCUUGGCUCCACCCCGUCUUGUAGUAAAUAUCUAAAUUAUCUGUGGCAACAACUUGGUGGGGUCAACUCGAAUGUUUUUGUCGGCUGUUCUUGAAGACUUCUGGGUCUCUACAACCACAUUCUUUGGCUGGUGCCAGUGUUUAAGCACUCUGAAACUGCAUAGCAGCAUGUUUGAAGGUGGCCUGUCAAAUUUGGGAAACUGACGGUGUGACUGAGCUAGUCACAGGGGUCUUCACAGAAAAGGCAGUCGGGGUCCUGGUCAACUGGAGAUUCCAUCUGAAUGAGUGAAGUCAUUAAGACUAGAGCUCCAGGCUUCUUCAUCCAACUCCAAGGGUUCCCAGCAACAUGUGAAGUCCUCUAUCUGUCACUAAGAAGCCGUGUGAGUGAAGCAGGCUAUAUACCUUGGUUUCAACAUCUGUGAACAAGAUGAGAAGAAUACACCUUGGCAGCUGCUGGAUCAAGGCAAAUGAGAGACCCAUGGAGCUCACUAAAUCCAACUCUACAGCUUGGAGCUAAGCCUAACUUAGCCAAGUCUAAACCAGUUUGACCUCAGCCAAUUCACAGAUGUUUGAGCCAGAAGUAAGGUGCUUGUUGCUGGAAGCCAGUUAAAUUUUGAGAUCUUUUUGAAAAAUAUAUUGUCAUUGCAGACAUAGAUGCACAUAGUUUUCCACACUGUGGGAAGUCAAAUUAAGCAUGCUUAGACUUUUAAAGCAGAAGCCCAUUAUUAGUGGGGUGGCAAAAAUGUUACAAGUGACAUAGUCCUCCAAUUUCCUUCUUCUAGCCCUCUGCCUAAGAACUAGUGUACUUCAUUUUGAAGUGGAGCCCUAACGGGAGUGUUCAUCUUCUGUCAACAGGGUUAAGCCUCUUGACGCUUACUGGGCACUCACAGUUGUUAGUUCCCUGGAAGACAUGAAAGAGCUUGAUUGGUUCUGUAGUCGUCAGUCAAUAACCAACUGUAACAUACCUACACUUCCAACAAAAUCUUGAUUUGGGAAAUUGAGUGUCUGCUUAUAGUUAAUCCUCUAUUUUUUGACACCUAGUAGGAAAAACAUUUUCAAAAGAGCCAUGACCUGACUCAGUUAAUAUGCAAGGAAAAAUAAGCAGUUCCAAACUUGUCAGUUUAUCCAUCAUCCCUUAUCCAAAAUCCUUCAACUCUCUUGGAAUUAUUUUGUUCUUCAUACUUGCCCAACAAAUAUCUUACUCUUGUCUUGGACUUUAUUUUAUAGUUAUCUCACAUAAGCUCCUUGUGGCUAAGGGCACAUAUUUGGAAUCAGACUACCCUAGUUCAACUCUUGGGUCUACCAUUUAUUAGCUUGUAUUACUUUGGGAAAGAUAAUUAAAUUCUCCAGAUCUAAUUUCCCCCAUUAUAAGAUAAUAAUAGUUAUUACCUGCUAGGAUUGUCUUGAGAAGUAAAUUAGAUAAUUCAUAAGAACCAUUUAACACAGUGCCAGCCACAUAAUGAAGGCAUAGUAAGGGAAAGUUAUUAUGCUGUUGAUAAUACUUGUCUAGGCAGGGGUCUCAUAUUUUUCCCUGUAUCCAUUACUGUACAAUUCAUCUGUCCCAUGACAUUCUAAGAUUGUUUUAGAGUGAGUUGCUUCAGAGUUGAAUAAUUCUAAUAAUAUAUUCUCAUGUUUGGAAACAACUUGGAAUUCCAUUUAGUGUAGACAUCAACAAUGAAAUCGCUAGAGGAUGAGUAAUUUCUACAAUUUUUAUUCAUUAUAGAGAGACCAAUGGGUAUAAUGGUGAAAAGAACUGAGUAGAAGGUCAGGAGGUCAAAGAGACUGAGUUUAAACCCUCACUCUGCUGAGUACUGUUAAUAAUGGUAUGAUCUUAAGAGAACUAAUCUUUAGUUUUUCCCACCUUAAAAACAGAGUUGUCAUGAGUAUUUAAUAAUAGAGGGUAGUAUGUAAACUUCCUGGCAUAUAGCAACUGCUCAACAAAUAGAAGUUAUAGUUUUUUCUUAACUUGCCAAAGAGCCAAGGGAAAAAUGAAGAUUUUGUAGCCAAAGCCAUUUAUCUUUCUCUGUUAUGUGCCUAUCUGUUCCAGAAACAGAAUCAAUUCCUUGAACCUCAUCAAAGGAAGGAUUUGAACAUUUAAAAAAAAAUCAAUCUCUUUGGGUUUGUUAUUGCUUGUUUCCCAUACCUCAGAGACACAAAUACAAACCUUUAUAAUGUCAUCAGGAAGAAGAGGAGUCAAACACUCCUUAACUCAAUAAUUGCAAUGUUAUUAUUUUGCAAGGAAUAGAGUCAAAAUUCCAUUCACAUGAGGACUGUAACUUCUUCAUUACUCCUUGAGGCACGAUGUCCUUGAUUUUAAGUAGCUCAUGUAGAAACUAGUUGUAAGUCUUUAGCGGAGAGACUGUACUGGAAUUAUAGGAUCUACUUAGGGGUUUGAGCUUCCCCACCCACUUAGAGUGACAGUUCACACCUAUAAAAACACAAAAGUCCGGGGGUUUAUUAAACAUUAGGAGAUCCAAAGAGCCAAGACUUCUACCUGUAAAAGUGGUGCUUCCUAAGCAGAAGAAAUGGAAUUUCUCAGAGAAUACAGCUUGGCUUGACCAAUGGACUGUACAAGGAAGAUUAGGAGGUAAUUACUGGGGUAAAAGAGAAAUGGUUGCAUCUUUCUGGAACACUCUAAUAAAACUGAAAGUUUUUCCUGAUUUCUUCUUUUAUUUGAUACAAGGGUCAAAUUUGAUACAUAAAGUCAUAAUGUCCCACAUGUACUUCUCAGGAACAUCUGUUUAGUCCUACUACAAAACUUGGGGAACAUGGUUUCCUAAUGUGGUACCAGUCGUCUCUUCAUGGAUGACUUCAGGAAGAAAUUCUGACUGGCAGACUCCACAAGUAUAAGACAAUAAGAGGCCAAUUUCUUUAUUCUUCUCCUCUUCUCCGCUUGUCCCCCCACCUCAUUAGCUUUGGGAGAAUAACACAGUGUGGAACAGAAAAAUAAGGAGCCUUGUUGUACUUCAUUGGCCUCAAGAGGUCUCAUCUAUUAAAUAGAUCCAUUAUGUUACUCUCAGAGAAAAUUAUAGUCAAAAAUAUUUCAAGUUUUAGGGCAGUACUGAAUAUAUAAGGGCUCUGUUACUUAAUCUCUGUGCUCUUAUCUUGGGGCGGCAAAGCUCAGUAGGGCUAUCUUGAAAGUAGCCUGAAAUCAAUUGGUCAGAUGAAAUCAAUUGGUCAGGAGGAGCCCAUCAGGAGGAUCAAGGACAUGGGUGACACAGUGAGUGUAAUUAUUAGUCAGGAUAGGUUAGGUUAGGCAUUAGUGGCAAAUUAUCUCCAAAUCUCAGUGGCUUGGUACAAUAAAGGCUUAUUGCUUAUUCAUGCAGCAUGUCUACUGCAGGUCCACAAGGGCUCUGUUCCACUCACAGAUCCAGAUUGUAACAUUCUUUGCCAUCUCAUAGCUACAUGAUCUAAACAUCAGCAGAAGGAAAGUGUCUUGGGUCAGGCUACCUGGAAAACAGAUCAAGAUAAAGAUUUCUGUGCAAAAAGGUUAUUGGGGAGGGAACUCUAAUUGAUAUCUGCCAGGGAUAGUGCAAGAAUGGUUGAGCAGACAAUUGUUGAACUACUUACUAUGUAUGUAGUAACAACAAAGGUCUUGACCAACCCAAAAGGGAGUCCUGGAGCUCAAAUGGUUCUUCACAGUUCUCUCACCUUAAGGCAAGGGACCUGGGCCUUUAUUAUCCCUUAUCAACCAGUCAUUUGAUUAGCUUGACCCCAGAGAGAGGUUAUGACCUUGAGUAAAGUGGCUCUCCUCUACUGAGGAUAAUUCCAGGAGAGCAACUCAGCUGAGAGCUGUCAGCAAUGGGAGGAAUCAGAGUCUCAGUCCUGAAGAGCAGAUCUGGGCAGCAUAUCAUAGCAUCCACCACAAGGGGGAAAGUGCGUGCACUUUUCAUUGCCUCCACCUGGGAGUGACAUAUGCCAUUUUUUGCUGUCAUUUCAAUGACCAAAAGGAGUCACAUGAUUCUAAUUGGAAGGAACCUGGG
rnacentral:lncRNA from 10 species